rnacentral:rRNA from 1 species
CCUACGGGUGGCAGCAGUCGAGAAUCAUUCACAAUGGGGGAAACCCUGAUGGUGCGACGCCGCGUGGGGGAAUGAAGGUCUUCGGAUUGUAAACCCCUGUCAUGUGGGAGCAAAUUAAAAAGAUAGUACCACAAGAGGAAGAGACGGCUAACUCUGUUCCAGCAGCCGCGGUAAUACAGAGGUCUCAAGCGUUGUUCGGAUUCACUGGGCGUAAAGCGUGCGUAGGCUGUGUCGUAAGUCGUGUGUGAAAGGUGCGGGCUCAACCUGCGGACGGCACAUGAUACUGGGAGACUAGAGUAAUGGAGGGGGAACCGGAAUUCGCGGUGUAGCAGUGAAAUGCGUAGAUAUCGAGAGGAACACUCGUGGCGAAGGCGGGUUCCUGGACAUUAACUGACGCUGAGGCACGAAGGCCAGGGGAGCGAAAGGGAUUAGAUACCCUGGUAGUC